rnacentral:rRNA from 1 species
AUGGAGGGAGUUGCAGGCAUGUUGAGGGGGCUAAAGCUGUCGGAUGAGGAGAGGAAAGGAGUAAAGGUUAGAUGCGCGCUCAAGGAGAAGGGGAAGGAUUGGGUGCAGCAGGCGGUAGGCAAGGUCAUGUCCGAGAAGCCAGUUCAUUCGGACGCCAUCUGCUUAACCCUAGGGAAGAUCUGGUGUCCGAUCAAGGGCAUCGACUGCAAGGAGAUUGGGGUGAAUCAGUUUCUGUUUACGUUCCAUCAGGAGUCGGGGAAGAGGAAGGCUAUCGAGGACGGGCCGUGGAUGUUUGAUAAAGACCUAAUAGUGAUGGAGGAGUAUGUUCCGAAAAAGAGGCCUGAGGACUAUGAAUUUAACAAUAUCCCGAUUUGGGUGAGAGUGUACAAUCUGCCCCUGGGCAUGAUGGAUGUGGUCUCAGCUGAGGACAUCGGCAACAUUAUUGGCAAGUUCGUGGAAGCUGAUACAGGAGCCGAUGGGAGUGCCAUAGGGAGAUUCUUGCGUGUCAAGAUUCGCAUGAGGAUUGAUAAACCACUCAUGCGUGGCUUCAUGUUGGAGGACGAGGAGGAACAGGGAAAAGAACACUAG